GAUGAACGCUGGCGGCGUGCUUAACACAUGCAAGUCGAACGAACCUUCGGGUUAGUGGCGGACGGGUGAGUAACGCGUGAGAAUCUGCCCUCAGGAGGGGGACAACAGCUGGAAACGGCUGCUAAUACCCCAUAUGCCGCGAGGUGAAAUGAAUUUCGCCUGAGGAUGAGCUCGCGUCUGAUUAGCUAGUUGGUGUAGGUAAUGGCUCACCAAGGCAUCGAUCAGUAGCUGGUCUGAGAGGAUGAUCAGCCACACUGGGACUGAGACACGGCCCAGACUCCUACGGGAGGCAGCAGUGGGGAAUUUUCCGCAAUGGGCGAAAGCCUGACGGAGCAACGCCGCGUGAGGGAUGAAGGCCUCUGGGCUGUAAACCUCUUUUAUCAAGGAAGAAGAUCUGACGGUACUUGAAGGAUAAGCCACGGCUAAUUCCGUG
rnacentral:rRNA from 1 species